UGGGGAAUAUUGCACAAUGGGCGAAAGCCUGAUGCAGCGACGCCGCGUGAGGGAUGACGGCCUUCGGGUUGUAAACCUCUUUCAGUAGGGACGAAGCGCAAGUGACGGUACCUGCAGAAGAAGCACCGGCUAACUACGUGCCAGCAGCCGCGGUAAUACGUAGGGUGCGAGCGUUGUCCGGAAUUACUGGGCGUAAAGAGCUCGUAGGCGGUUUGACACGUCGUCUGUGAAAUCCUAGGGCUUAACCCUGGACGUGCAGGCGAUACGGGCUGACUUGAGUACUACAGGGGAGACUGGAAUUUCUGGUGUAGCGGUGGAAUGCACAGAUAUCAGGAAGAACACCGAUGGCGAAGGCAGGUCUCUGGGUAGUAACUGACGCUGAGGAGCGAAAGCAUGGGUAGCGAACAGG
rnacentral:rRNA from 1 species